GACGAACGCUGGCGGCGUGCUUAACACAUGCAAGUCGAACGAUGAUGCUGGAGCUUGCUCCAGUUGAUUAGUGGCGAACGGGUGAGUAACACGUGAGCAAUCUGCCCUUGACUCUGGGAUAACUGCGGGAAACUGUAGCUAAUACCGGAUACUUUCACCGGGGGGCAUCCUCUGGUGAUGAAAGAAUUUCGGUCAAGGAUGAGCUCGCGGCCUAUCAGCUUGUUGGUGAGGUAACGGCUCACCAAGGCGACGACGGGUAACCGGCCUGAGAGGGUGACCGGUCACACUGGGACUGAGACACGGCCCAGACUCCUACGGGAGGCAGCAGUGGGGAAUAUUGCACAAUGGGCGCAAGCCUGAUGCAGCAACGCCGCGUGAGGGAUGAAGGCCUUCGGGUUGUAAACUUCUUCUAGCAGGGAAGAAGCGAAAGUGACGGUACCUGCAGAAAAAGCACCGGCUAACUACGUGCCAGCAGCAGCCGCCG
rnacentral:rRNA from 1 species